CACACACACACACACACACACACACACACACACACACACACACACACACACACACACACACACACACACACACACACACACACACACACACACACACACACACACACGGGUGUUAUACACAUGCUAGAUGAUAUCACAUAUCUGGUAGGCCAUUCAACACUUUCGAACAUAACAAAGCUUAUUUCAACAGUAUUUUAAUUUUAGUCAAAUGUUGCUAAAUAUGAUUUGAUGUAUUUUCAUUUUGAUUAAGAUGUUUGCCUUUUUAAUAAUCUUUUAUGAUGCAGGUUUAUAUCACACAGACCUAUGUGUUAUUACAUGUCAUUUGCUUCUAGAUGCCUUUAGGUGUGUGUGUGUGUGUGUGUGUGUGUGUGUGUGUGUGUGUGUGUGUGUGUGUGUGUGUGUGUGUGUGUGUGUGUGUGUGUGUGUGUGUGUGUGUGUGUGUGUGUGUGUGUGUGUGUGUGUGUGUCACUCAGUCCAGGUUAAUGUUCUCAACAUGUUCAAAGUAUUUUUACACGCUGAUGAGGACCAUCUGGACUCAACAGCCAGGAGAGUCUGACCGUGUGUGACCGUGGUCAUGCAUUUGUUUUUAAUAAAACUUUUAUUUUGAAUCUUAA